rnacentral:rRNA from 1 species
AUACGGAGGGUCCAAGCGUUAUCCGGAUUCAUUGGGUUUAAAGGGUCCGCAGGCGGAAAAAUAAGUCAGUGGUGAAAGCCUACAGCUCAACUGUAGAACUGCCAUUGAAACUGUUUUUCUUGAGUAUAUAUGAAGUGGGCGGAAUAUAUCAUGUAGCGGUGAAAUGCAUAGAUAUGAUAUAGAACACCGAUUGCGAAGGCAGCUCACUAAACUAUUACUGACGCUCAGGGACGAAAGCGUGGGGAGCGAACAGAAUUAGAUACCCCAGUAGUCC